rnacentral:lncRNA from 1 species
GGCGGGAUGAGUCCGGGGCGCAGGUAGCGGCCGGCGUUGAGGGCUGGAGCUCCGUGGGGAAGCCGCUGCCACCCGCCAGCCCGCAUGGAGGCUCGGCUCCUCCUCGGGGCGCUGCUGUGCGCCUGCUUGCCGCGGGCCCUGUCUCUGCGGGGCGCCGGGGCGCAGCUCCCUGCUGGUGGGGACCUACCGCUGCCCAGCCGAGGCAGCGCCGCGGGACCUCGGAGAGGGGGC